AUACACGGCCGACGCGGGUCAGAAUGUAAUAUCUGUUUUUUUCAGUAUAACAUCUGAUACGGGUCGUACUUCGACCUUAGAUAUUAAACUUACUUUUGUAAGUUGGUGGAGUGCUGAAAGCCUGCUUCUACUCCGACGCGGGUUCCGCGAUAUCCCGCUAUCUUCAGUAUGGGCACACGCUUG